UCUUAAGUAAGGUCCUGGAGAUGAAAAGGGCUCAAACAGGGGAGGCCGUUACCAAGGAAACCACAGCUCUGACAGCAAGAGUCCGUUGAGAGCCGUCCCAUAACUAGGCUUGGCCUUGGGCUGGCCACAUGGCCUUGAUUCUUUAAUAAAAAGAGGCUGUUUCACUCAGUAUUUUCUGGGCCCCUUCACUUCUCAUGUCCUGGGCCUUCUGUUCCUGAGCCACGAGUCAAAGCCUAAACAACGUGGCUUAUUGGUGACCCCAAUUGGGGCAGCGAGGGGGGUCUUCUCACAGGGAAAGAACUGUGAGUGAAGAAUCAAAGGGAAAGGAAGAUGGGAUCGCAGAAUAACGAAUUCAAGAGGCUGGAAAGAUCUCAAAGGCCAGUUAGUCCCAGAUUCUCUCUCCAUCACCCCCGAAAAACCCAUUUGGCAAGUGUGGCUGAGGAGGAAGAUGGAGAACAAUGACCAGAUGUUUGCAUAAUUCAGGGAUUUUCUAUACUGGGAGUCAUGAAAUGCUACAAUCUCUGAAGAAAAGAAAGGCGACCCCAAAGGCAAUGCAUAUGAAAAUGUGAGCAAACCGGAGCCCAUCACCAGGGGAAUUGGGCACCCGAGAUGAUGUUAAAGAGGUGUUCAUUUAGGGAAGGAGAGUCAAGAGCCAUCGAUCAACGGGGUAAUCCAUGGAUUUCAUUGUUACCCAUAUAAUGUCCAGAGAUCUGCAGGACAACCAGAAACUUGAGUGAAUCCACAUUGAAGAUUUAUGGGAAGACAUAGACUAGAGAGUGCAAAUGAUGAGGUGCCAAUGAACUAGGAUAUGUGUCCUUGGGCAGAAUUCCCACAUUAAUGAGAUUCAAUUCAAUAAACAGUUGGUAAACACCUACUACAUGCAAAACCCUGGAGCUCAUACAGCUCUCCCACUCUCUUUAUUCAUUACUAUGACCAAAAUCUGUCAUUUAGGUCACUGACCCAGGUCACCCAUUACCUAUCCUGGCCAUCAGGACAUUUAAUUUGCUGCUAGACUAGAAUUCUGUGGAUAUACCAAUGGGGCAAUCUCUGUUGCUCAUUCCUUCCUUGCCAUCCCCAAAUAUAAGGACCAUUCUUCCAUCUCUAGAAAGUCAGAGUAAGGAACUUUUCUGUUCCCCUCAUCAGACUGGCCUUUGAGCACAUGGUCCCCUAGGAAUUCCUGUCUGGGAUGGGGCCAUCUCUUACUUGUUUAUGAGAUCCCACAAAAAGACAUCAUCAUUCCCCUCCUACCCUCCCCCAACCCCUACCCAGAAUUACUACCCAGUAGUAAUGGCAGCCACUUGCAGCAGCGGCAGUCAAUGACAUCGACAGACACAAAGUUGCCUUGAAUAUUCUCUUCUCAGAAGAUUGCCAUCAUUUUAUAAUUCUUUCUUGCUAAGCAUUUUCCUUUCUAUGCUGGAAUAAAACUGCCUAUUUCAA